rnacentral:piRNA from 1 species
GAAGGGUUUGUGAGCUCCGGGUGUCUGGU